rnacentral:rRNA from 1 species
AGUGAACGCUGGCGGUAGGCCUAACACAUGCAAGUCGAACGGCAGCACAGUAAGAGCUUGCUCUUACGGGUGGCGAGUGGCGGAUGGGUGAGGAAUACAUCGGAAUCUACUUUUUCGUGGGGGAUAACGUAGGGAAACUUACGCUAAUACCGCAUACGACCUACGGGUGAAAGCAGUGGAUCUUCGGACCUUGCGCGAUUGAAUGAGCCGAUGUCGGAUUAGCUAGUUGGCGGGGUAAAGGCCCACCAAGGCGACGAUCCGUAGCUGGGCUGAGAGGAUGAUCAGCCACACUGGAACUGAGACACGGUCCAGACUCCUACGGGAGGCAGCAGUGGGGAAUAUUGGGCAAUGGGCGCAAGCCUGAUCCAGCCAUACCGCGUGGGUGAAGAAGGCCUUCGGGUUGUAAAGCCCUUUUGUUGGGAAAGAAAAGCAGCAGGUUAAUACCCCGCUGUUCUGACGGUACCCAAAGAAUAAGCACCGGCUAACUUCGUG